rnacentral:rRNA from 1 species
GACGAACGCUGGCGGCGUGCUUAACACAUGCAAGUCGAACGGUGAAGCCUUUCGGGGUGGAUCAGUGGCGAACGGGUGAGUAACACGUGAGCAAUCUGCCCUUGACUCUGGGAUAACUUCGGGAAACCGGAGCUAAUACCGGAUAUGACGCGCGGCCGCAUGGUCUGUGUGUGGAAAGAUUUAUUGGUCAGGGAUGAGCUCGCGGCCUAUCAGCUUGUUGGUGGGGUAAUGGCCUACCAAGGCGACGACGGGUAGCCGGCCUGAGAGGGCGACCGGCCACACUGGGACUGAGACACGGCCCAGACUCCUACGGGAGGCAGCAGUGGGGAAUAUUGCGCAAUGGGCGGAAGCCUGACGCAGCGACGCCGCGUGAGGGAUGAAGGCCUUCGGGUCGUAAACCUCUUUCAGCAGGGAAGAAGCGAGAGUGACGGUACCUGCAGAAGAAGCACCGGCUAACUACGUGCCAGCAGCCGCGGUAAUACGUAGGGUGCAAGCGUUGUCCGGAAUUAUUGGGCGUAAAGCGCGUGUAGGCGGUCUGAUUAGUCUGAUGUGAAAGCCCUGGGCUCAACCCAGGAAGUGCAUUGGAUACUGUCAGACUUGAAUACGGGAGAGGGUAGUGGAAUUCCUAGUGUAGGAGUGAAAUCCGUAGAUAUUAGGAGGAACACCGGUGGCGAAGGCGGCUACCUGGACCGAUAUUGACGCUGAGACGCGAAAGCGUGGGUAGCAAA